rnacentral:rRNA from 1 species
ACGGAAGGCAGCAGUGGGGAAUAUUGCACAAUGGGCGAAAGCCUGAUGCAGCGACGCCGCGUGAGUGAAGAAGUAUCUCGGUAUGUAAAGCUCUAUCAGCAGGGAAGAAAAUGACGGUACCUGACUAAGAAGCCCCGGCUAACUACGUGCCAGCAGCCGCGGUAAUACGUAGGGGGCAAGCGUUAUCCGGAUUUACUGGGUGUAAAGGGAGCGUAGACGGUUUGGCAAGUCUGAAGUGAAAUGCGGGGGUUCAACUCCUGAACUGCUUUGGAAACUGUCGAACUAGAGUGCAGGAGAGGUAAGUGGAAUUCCUAGUGUAGCGGUGAAAUGCGUAGAUAUUAGGAGGAACACCAGUGGCGAAGGCGGCUUACUGGACUGUAACUGACGUUGAGGCUCGAAAGCGUGGGGAGCAAACAGGAUUAGAUACCCUGGUA